rnacentral:rRNA from 1 species
UACGUAGGGGGCAAGCGUUGUCCGGAUUUAUUGGGCGUAAAGAGCGUGUAGGCGGUUAUGCAGGUCCGCUGUGAAAACUGGAGGCUUAACCUCCAGACGUCGGUGGAAACCGUAUGACUAGAGUCCGGAAGAGGAGAGUGGAAUUCCUGGUGUAGCGGUGAAAUGCGCAGAUAUCAGGAAGAACACCGGUGGCGAAGGCGGUCUGCUGGGCAGUAGCUGACACUGAGGCGCGACAGCGUGGGGAGCAAACAGG